AGCCUCUGCUGUGGGGGAGAUGGUUGAAGUUCAAACAUCUGGUGUCAUAUGUCCUGUGCUGUCAGUGUCUCUUGAAACAUCUGAAACACUGGCCAACUGUUAUAACCUUGGAAGACAAUUGUGCAGCUGGGGCUCUGUGAUAAGGGCUUCUCUCAAAACUUCCCGAAGUGUCAAGAAUAAAUAAACCAUUAUAUUUGCA